rnacentral:rRNA from 1 species
GGCCUAACACAUGCAAGUCGAACGAUGAAGCCCUUCGGGGUGGAUUAGUGGCGAACGGGUGAGUAACACGUGGGCAAUCUGCCCUUCACUCUGGGACAAGCCCUGGAAACGGGGUCUAAUACCGGAUACCACUCCUGCCUGCAUGGGCGGGGGUUGAAAGCUCCGGCGGUGAAGGAUGAGCCCGCGGCCUAUCAGCUUGUUGGUGGGGUAAUGGCCCACCAAGGCGACGACGGGUAGCCGGCCUGAGAGGGCGACCGGCCACACUGGGACUGAGACACGGCCCAGACUCCUACGGGAGGCAGCAGUGGGGAAUAUUGCACAAUGGGCGAAAGCCUGAUGCAGCGACGCCGCGUGAGGGAUGACGGCCUUCGGGUUGUAAACCUCUUUCAGCAGGGAAGAAGCGAAAGUGACGGUACCUGCAGAAGAAGCGCCGGCUAACUACGUGCCAGCAGCCGCGGUAAUACGUAGGGCGCAAGCGUUGUCCGGAAUUAUUGGGCAUAAAGAGCUCGUAGGCGGCUUGUCACGUCGGAUGUGAAAGCCCGAGGCUUAACCUCGGGUCUGCAUUCGAUACGGGCUAGCUAGAGUGUGGUAGGGGAGAUCGGAAUUCCUGGUGUAGCGGUGAAAUGCGCAGAUAUCAGGAGGAACACCGGUGGCGAAGGCGGAUCUCUGGGCCAUUACUGACGCUGAGGAGCGAAAGCGUGGGGAGCGAACAGGAUUAGAUACCCUGGUAGUCCACGCCGUAAACGUUGGGAACUAGGUGUUGGCGACAUUCCACGUCGUCGGUGCCGCAGCUAACGCAUUAAGUUCCCCGCCUGGGGAGUACGGCCGCAAGGCUAAAACU